rnacentral:rRNA from 1 species
CUGCUAUUGGGGUUCGACUAAGCCAUGCGAGUCUAUGGACUUCGGUCCAUGGCGGACGGCUCAGUAACACGUGGCUAACCUACCCUCGGGUGGGGGAUAACCUCGGGAAACUGAGGAUAAUACCCCAUAGGAGAAGAGGUCUGGAAUGAUCCUUCUCUGAAAACAUAUGUGCCCGAGGAUGGGGCUGCGUCUGAUUAGGUAGUUGGUGGGGUAAUGGCCCACCAAGCCUACGAUCAGUACGGGCCUUGAGAGAGGCAGCCCGGAGAUGGGGACUGAGACACGGCCCCAGGCCCUACGGGGCGCAGCAGGCGCGAAACCUCCGCAAUGCACGAAAGUGCGACGGGGGGACCCCAAGUGCUUACGCACUGCGUAGGCUUUUCUAAAGUGUAAAAAGCUUUAGGAAUAAGGGCUGGGC